rnacentral:tRNA from 2 species
GCGCUCGUGGUGAAAUUGGUAAACACAGCAGACUUAAAAUCUGCCGCCUUCACGGGCUUGCCGGUUCAAGUCCGGCCGAGCGCACCA